UCUGCCUGUCCUGCAACUUGCUAUACAGAGCAGGCUGGCCUUAAAUGCACAACACUUUUCCAUUUUAUCGAUGGGAAGACAAAAGAAAAUAGAAAAGCUCUCAAAACCUCAGGAGGUGGACUUGUGAAUAUGUUUAAGAAUCAUUAAAUUGACCUACAGAGAGGGUCUUAGCUCACCUAAGAUCACAUAUUAAUUAAGAGGACACGCCAACACCAGGACCCAGAUCCCAGCCUGGACUGCGUCAUCAUGAGACAGGCCCACACCAUACAGCCCCUGCCCCCGGGAACAUCUGACUACUGAGACAGAUGUGGCCGGGAUCCGGUGUCAGCCGGUGGUUUCCCAGUACCAUCUUCCAGAUACUGGACUGCUCUGCCUCCCAGGAUGAUAGCUGGAAUCUGAAAAUGGAGAAUAUUUCCAGAUCUGAGUGGCCGCAGGGCCAACACUAGACAUCUUGGUUUUGUGACCUUAGCCCCACCCACUAAGCCUCUGCCCCGCCUGAUUGCAGAAAUGGACUUGAAGCAAAGACUUGUUGCAAAAGA